rnacentral:lncRNA from 1 species
AUAGUUCAACAUUCUUGCCAUUAGAUGGCAGUCAAAACUAAUGCAAUGAUUAAACUCCUCUUCAAGUUUAAUAAUGGUUUGCGUAGGUACAACGUGUUAUUCAGUGGACAUAUUUAUAAAAAGUUCUGUGAAAAUUGAAAGGCAUUGUCAAUGAUCUAACAUUCCUCUUGGUAACCAGGCAUUUUCCAAGGUAAAUAGGUAUCCCAAAGAGAUCAGGUCUUUUUUUAAAAUAUGCUUUCUGAAAAUUUGGAGUAUAACAUAUGUACACUAAAAUGCAGAAAGCACCGUCAGUUCGAGGCAUCACCACAAAGUGAAAACACCUAUAUAAGCAUCACCUAGAUAAAAUGAAAGAACGUUACCAGCAUCUCGGAAGACUCCCUUGUGCUCUCUCCCAAUCAUUACCUUCUCCCUUCUCCCCAGAGGUAACCAUUAUCCUGACUUCUGACAUUAUAAUUUAGGUUUUCCUAUUUUAAGAAAGUGAGUCAUUUAUUUUCUGGGUCUUUCCUGGGAGAUGCAGGGAAUGGUGUUCGUGUGAGUUUGUGGUGUGUUUGUGUAGUUUGCUGUUUACUCAUAUAGCCUCCAGUGGUAUACUGAGUUGGUCACAAACCUCACUCUUUCGGCCUGCAACAAUAUUAUAAUAAAUAUCAAAUGACAAAGAAUUACAAAUGUUAGAAUUCUACUAUGAAGAUAGUAGAGGCAAAGAUUACCACAAUGGAUAUGAUUUUGUUAUGUAAGAGAUGAAAAGAACUUACAAUUGUGUUAGACCCUGAGUAUCCCAGACAAUAUCUGAAUGGACUCAAU